UGGAGAUGGAGAGGAGGAGGAGCAAUCUCCAGAAGAAACCUGAAGGCAGGGGAAUCAACUCCUCCCAGAUAACAUCCGAAAAUCCAAACCCCACAGAGUGAAGUAAGCAGAGAGGAAAAGGACCAGAACCAGAAAAGCACAAGGGUAGAACACAUGCUUUGCAGGCAAAAUGCUCAGCACCCGACAUCUCCAGCUGAAAGGAAGUGGUAGUAGCUGAUGGGAAAGAAACCCUUAUGCCACUCAGUUGCCACUACAGGAGAAGCCAAAUCAAGCAUCUCCACCUGGCAUAAAGCAGCUUCCUGUUUGCAUACAGAGUCCUGGAAGACAAGCAGGUCCGUAUCAGUUUCAGCCGCUUGCUUGUUUAGCAACAGCAGCAUUUCAUCUUGCCUGCCCUGCAGCACAACUGUGGGAGCCGAAAAUGUUGUUUGGACAUAUUUCCCAUAGUUUGGAAUGGAUAAAGGAAGGAAAGGAGAAUCCAUUAGCUCAGCAGGUAGCUUAUGUGAGCACAGCAUACCUACGCUGGUUGAAUGCACUCGUGAGAUGGAGCACAUUACGGGCCACUUCUCUCAACUUUUAGAUGAAAUCAUUAAGCUUCGGAUCAGUGUGGGAAGAAAUCCAAAGGGUCAUGUUGUGGAAUCUCCUGUUCAGAUGGGGCAUGUGGGCUGCAAUGAAGCUAAUUAUCUCGCUGUGCGCUCAAGAAGUUGCACAACAUCCCUAUUGGGAUUUUUGCCUCCCACCCACCACCCAGCCGCUUUUGAUCCAGAGAGCUCUUUGCUACACAUGCUUGAAGAAAACACUCCUGAAUUAAUGUGGCAGAGAAGACAGUGGUUUGUGAAACACAAGCCCAAACCUUGUGUAGACUAGUGGAACGUGUCUCAGGAGCUUGAGAUAAGUGUCUGAAAGAUUCCCCAAUAGAUAACUAUAUAUAUAUUUCCUGCUGGGAAGAAAAAUUGAGGAUGCAUUCAUGAAUAACUGAAGCUCAAGGAGUAGCUGCACCUCUAAUGGGUGUGUCAUUUUUCCUGGGGUUGUUCUUCAACUUAUUGCCAUGACAAGAUAACUCAACUAGUUUGUGUGUGGUGCUGAUAAAGCCAAGGUUGCAGGUUUGAUCUCCACAAAGUGCACCUGCAUAUUCCUGCAUUGCAGGGGGGUCGACUAGAUGAUCCUGAAGGUCUCUUCCAAUUCUAUGAGUCUAUGAAAUGAGUGAGAAAUCGAAGCAAGAGUGCUUGGCUAUAUGAGUAGCCCUACCACAAGGCACAAUGAGGCAGUUGCCUCAGGCAGCAGAUGCUGUUCUUCUAAAAGCCCCGGAGGCCUUCAGCUGUUCUUCCUCAGGCCUCUAGCUGAUCUCUUUCAUGGGAGGGCUGAGAGGGUUUACAUGAACCCUGUUAACGUCUUAAUUCUCGAAAUGGACAGAUACCAACAACAACACAACUGCAAGUUUAGUUUUAAAAUUCAGUUAGAUUGUGGAAAGACACUAUGUAGUACAAGUCCACAUUUUUAUUUUGACAUUAUUAUACACGUUUACUCAGCCAAGUUCAAUGGAGUUCACUUCCAGAAGGGAGAGUAUAGGAUCUCAGAGCCAAUAAUUCCCCAGUGUUGCAGCUAGAGGCAAGAAUGGCAUAUAGUUGCCUCUCUGUUGACCUCUGCAGGUGAAGAAGAGAGCUGCUGCUGAUGGUAAGGGCUCUGUUGUGGUGGGAACCUUGAACUUCACUUUGGUUGGUUGGAGGAAACUACCACAAGCGGCAGAGAGCAGAAAACCCUGAAAUGGGUCAUUUGGGUGGGAGUGUCAACAGAAGCAGCAGAAAUCUAAAUUUUGGAAACUGAACCACAAAGAAUGUUAACUCUAGUAACCUGCUAACAACAUUUGGAGAGAAAGAGGCAAAAACUGGGAUGGCGAUUUAUCAGGAGCAGGCACCCAGAGUGUGUGUGUUGAACAUUUAUUUAGCACCAAUUGUAAACUAGGAACAAUAGUUUUAUGUGUUUUUGACACAGAGUAAUUUAGUUUGGGGACAUUAGCAACUCAACAACAUCUUCUCCAUGCAAUGUGACACUGAUUCUAUUUUCAGUGUAGGUGCUGCUGCUACACAGCAUGUUUAUUUUGGUGCGGAUGGCAAAUGUUUCUGAUCCAAGGCAAUUACACCCUGGCAUGCACUUUCAUGUUUUGCUGCCUUGAUUUAAAAUUCAGUUUGUUUCAUGCUGGCAAUGAUUUAUAGUCUUGUACAUUUGCUGGUUCUCUAAGUACAGCUGCUCUGCUAAGUUGAUAGGGCUAUUUGUAAAUAGGCCAAAUUUAUGAACUGCAGCUCAAGUUUGUUUGUUUGUUUAAACAGACAUCCAAAGAGACUAGGUGCUCUGUGUUUCUCACAUGCCAAUGAGAGCUGCAGACCAAACUAUCCUCGACAACUUUGGAAAUCUAACAUUGAUGAAUUUGUUUCAAGCCAUUAUUGUCUCCAGUGACAUAUUCUUAAACAAUUGAUUGAUGGAGCAUAAAACUCUGUUUGCUCAGGAAAGUGGGACUGCCACCUGCUCUUUCCGCCUUCCUUUGAAAGUGUGUUUUAAUUUAAAAGAGCUUGUCUAAUUAAAUUCACUGUUAGUGACAAAAUUAUCUCUUCAUUGACAAGCCUCCUUAGCAACUCAUUUAUAUUUUGAGGUCCAUGUCUGUAAGAAAAAGAAUUACAGGCAUAGGAUUAAGGAGGCAUGUGUGUCUGUGUGAAGCAUCAGUCAGUCUUCAGCAUGCAUUUGUUACAGAUGAACACAAUAAACCCUUUGGUAUUUCAGUGGUUGGAUAUAUUGCAGAAUUUGGUGCCAAGAGCCACUGAACCCAGUUCAUUAUCACCACAACCAUUACCAACUGGGAAAAUGUUUAUAAUGGAUGUAAAUAAUGACUUUACUUUCACAUCACAGCUCCACAAGCCUAUACUGGUUCUGGUGUAGUAUAGUACAUUACUUUUAAAUAGGUUGAUCCCAUACUCAAGAAUGAGAGUAAAUAUGUCACUCUUCUGGUUGGCUGUUGAUUAUGAUCUGUGACAGUGAUUCCAAAACCUUUGAAUAAGUACAC